AUUGAACGCUGGCGGCAUGCUUUACACAUGCAAGUCGAGCGGCAGCGCGGGGGCAACCCUGGCGGCGAGCGGCGAACGGGUGAGUAAUGCAUCGGAACGUAUCCUCGAGUGGGGGAUAACCCAGCGAAAGUUGGGCUAAUACCGCAUGAGCUCUGAGGAGGAAAGCGGGGGACCUGCGAGGGCCUCGCGCUGGAGGAGCGGCCGAUGUCCGAUUAGCUAGUUGGUGGGGUAAAGGCUUACCAAGGCGACGAUCGGUAGCUGGUCUGAGAGGAUGAUCAGCCACACUGGGACUGAGACACGGCCCAGACUCCUACGGGAGGCAGCAGUGGGGAAUUUUGGACAAUGGGGGCAACCCUGAUCCAGCCAUGCCGCGUGAGUGAAGAAGGCCUUCGGGUUGUAAAGCUCUUUCGGACGGAACGAAAUGGGCGGGACUAAUACUCCGGUCUGAUGACGGUACCGUAAGAAGAAGCACCGGCUAACUACGUG
rnacentral:rRNA from 1 species